rnacentral:misc_RNA from 1 species
UCUGCAACUCCACCUCCAUACCUAGAGGGAGCAUGCCUGAAUGUCCAGAGAAAGGGAGAGAUUUGACGAGAUAGGCAAGAAGAUCAAGAGAGAAGCAGAUGCCUCAUCUCAAAUGGGAAGAAGACACAUGCUGGGUCCUCCUGGAACCCUAAAUACAAUUACUCCUUGUGCUGCCUGCAAGCUCUUGAGAAGAAGAUGUGCACAAGAAUGCCCUUUUUCUCCAUAUUUCUCCCCACAUGAACCCCAGAAGUUUGCAUCUGUUCACAAAGUUUUUGGUGCCAGCAAUGUCUCAAAGAUGCUAAUGGAGGUUCCAGAGAGCCAAAGAGCCGAUGCAGCCAAUAGUCUUGUAUAUGAAGCUAAUGUAAGGCUAAGAGAUCCAGUUUAUGGGUGCAUGGGUGCAAUUUCGGCUUUACAACAACAAGUUCAAUCUUUACAAGCUGAACUUAAUGCAGUAAGGGCUGAAAUUCUCAAAUACAAGUAUAGAGACGCAAAUAUUCUACCUUCUUCGCAUGUAGCUUUGCUUUCUUCUGGGGCUGUUACUGUUUCUGCACCUUCUCCAUCCUUAACUCCGGUGCCACCGCCACCGCCUCCUCCCCCUCCUCCUCCUCUUCCUCCUAGUUCCUCUUCUUCUUCCAUUUACACCCACCAGCCCACCAACGUCACCGACUUUAGCACCAUUGCAAAUGAAAAUGUCUCCUUCUUUGGUUAAUUAAAAUUUCUUACUGAUCUAAAAGGAAGCUAUUUAUUUCUCUGUCAUGAAUCAUCUGGUUGAGCAAUAAAAAGGAGGAAGAGAUUAAUUGAUACUGGUAUUUGAUUGGUUGAAGGAGUUGUUUAAUUAGUUUUUGAUUACUGUUAAUUAAACUGCUUGAUUGAGGCCUAUAUAUGUCAUUAGAUAUUGUUGGUUGAUAUGUUUCUUUCUUCUCCACUUCUUUUCCUUUAUACUGAAUUUCUUGUUUUUCACUUCUCUUGGAUCAUGUUUCUUAAGCCGUCCCAUCUAUCUUACUUCACUUCCUCCAUUACAAUGAUACCUGCAAAUGCUAUAACUUAAAGAAUAUUUUAACUGAUAACAGAUUCAAGGUCCAUCAAUGGUCUAAUUACUCCAUUGAGUUCUUUCUGAUCUUGGAAUGAAUUAAUGUGUGUGAACUCAUUGCACAUAUGCUAGAUGGAUCACUACCGACAGUUUUCGCGACAUGUUAGUCUGUGCCAUUGAUGAAGAAUCUGAAUGUUGCUUCAAGUGAUGGGAGACAAAAGGUAUGGCUGUGAUAAUCCCCAUAUGGAGGUUAGAAACUUCUUAAGUAUUUGAUUACAGUUUGGAAAACAUGUAGGAGAAGCUUAUUUUUUUUUUAAAUUACAUUUGUUAUAUUACUCUAGUACCCUUGUAUUAAUGAAUAGUUUGAAAACUACUAGUGUUUGAGAUUCUUCAUUUCUAUUAUUUUAUGAGGCGCUUACAUUCUUG